rnacentral:rRNA from 1 species
UACGGAGGUUGCAAGCGUUAUCCGGAUUUAUUGGGUUUAAAGGGUGCGUAGGCGGGUUUGUAAGUCAGUGGUGAAAGACUGUCGCUUAACGAUAGCAUUGCCAUUGAUACUGCAAGUCUUGAGUACACUUGAGGUAGGCGGAAUGUGUAGUGUAGCGGUGAAAUGCUUAGAUAUUACACAGAACACCAAUUGCGAAGGCAGCUUACUAAAUUGUCACUGACGCUGAGGCACGAAAGCGUGGGGAUCAAACAGG